GACGGAAGGUGCAAGCGUUGCUCGGAAUCACUGGGCGUAAAGGGUGCGUAGGCGGCUUGGUAGGUCUGGUGUGAAAGCCCCGGGCUCAGCCCGGGAAGGGCACUAGAAACUGCCAAGCUAGAGUGCCGGAGGGGAGAGUGGAAUUCCUGGUGUAGCAGUGAAAUGCGUAGAUAUCAGGAGGAAUACCGAUGGCGAAGGCAGGUCUCUGGGCUGACACUGACGCUCAUGCACGAAAGCGUGGGGAGCAAACAGG
rnacentral:rRNA from 1 species